rnacentral:tRNA from 1 species
GAGAAGCAAGUACAGUUGAGGUGUAUUACUAGCUUGAAACUAGUGGGAGGGGGUUCAAGUCCCUCGUUUCUCG